ensembl:lncRNA
AUGGCCAGGUCACGGCAUUGGGAACGGCAUCGGGAACGGCCUCAGACAAGGGCACCGCCUCGGGAACGGCCUUGGACACGGGUAUCGCCUCCGGAACCAUCUCGGGCCCCGCAUCGGCCUCCGGAACAGCAUCGGGCACCGCCUCGGGAAUGGCAUCGGACAAGGACCCCGCCUCGGGAACGACCUCGGCAUCGGGCACCGCCUCGGGAACGGUCUCAGGAACGGCCUCGGGAACGGCAUUGGACAAGGACACCGCCUCGGGAACGACCUCGGCAUCGGGCACCGCCUCGGGAAUGGCCUCAGGAACGGCAUCGGACAAGGACACCGCCUCGGGAACGACCUCGGCAUCGGGCACCGCCUCGGGAACGGUCUCAGGAACGGCCUCAGGAACGGCCUCGGCAUCGGGCACCGCCUCGGGAACGGCCUCGGGAACGGCAUCGGACAAGGACACCGCCUCGGGAACGACCUCGGCCUGCGCAUCGGGCACCGCCUCGGCCUCCGGAACAGCAUCGGGCACCGCUUCGGCAUCGGGCACAGCCUCGGGCACAGCCUCGGCAACGGGCACCGCCUCGGGCACCGCCUCGGCAUCGGGGACCGCCUCGGGCACCGCCUCGGGCACCGCCUCGGCAUCGGGCACCGCAUCGGGCACCGCCUCGGGCACCGCCUCGGCAUCGGGGACCGCCUCGGGCACCGCCUCGGCAUCGGACAUUGCAUCGGGAACCGCCUCGGGCUCGGCAUCGGGCACCGCCUCGGGAACGGCCUCGGCAUCGGGCACCGCCUCGGGAACCUUGGACACCUCCACCUGGACGACCGCGGCCUGCUCGGGAACGUCCUCCUGGACGGCAGCGGCCUGCUCGGGAACGUCCUCCUGGACGGCAGCGGCCUGCUCGGGAACGUCCUCCUGGACGGCAGCGGCCUGCUCGAGAGCGUCCUCCGGGCUUUGAGGAACGGCUGACGCCUGUCUCCUCCUCCUGCGGCCUCUAUGAUGACGUGCCGGUGGCUCCUUGA